AGAACACGCAGCAGCAGCAGCAGUUAGCGCUGAUGCAACUAUCGUUGCUGUUGCCACCGCCUCCCCACUGACGGGGCGUGCACCUGGGGGGUACUUGCAGUUUCCAGGGGCAACAAGCAUCUCUCUACCACCCUCUCCUGCGCCCCUGAGAGAGGCUGGCUCCAAGCUUGAUAUAGAAGACUAUCAUAUGAACCAGAAAGGGUAACUGAAACCAAAGAAAUGACUCCAGUAUCAAGCUAAAGACAUGCCUUAAAGGAUGAGGAGGAGCAGAAAUCUUACCAGCAAGGCAAGAAAGAAGCCGUACGUGAACAGCCUCUGCUUUAGGCCCAGAAGGAAAAGAAGCUUACAGGAGACAAUCAGUCUUACACUCUUCCAUGGUCACAAACAAGAGGUCCCUGGAUCUACAGUAUCUAGGCCCACAUGCAAUAUGACUUUGCAACUCAUCCCAUCAGAGGAUGGAAACUAUUUCUUCACCCCCUUGAACCUGGGCUGGCUUUGUAAUUUGUUUUGGCCAAUAGAAUGUGGUGGAAGUGAUGGUGUUACCAGAAAGAGUUCCCAAUCCAGACUCGUGCGAGAAAGAAUUUGAGAAAUGAAAGAACCAGAGCAUUAUAGCAGAACGAAUCCUGGAAUGGGAAUGGAAUGCCUGGAUUUGUGGCACAGUUGGGAAGCGUCCUGGCCAUGCCAUGUUAAAGCUGUCUCCAAGGCAGUGAUUCUUACCCUUGGCUACACAUUGGAGUCAUUUGGGAAGCUAGAAAAAAAAAAUGCCCAGGACCUGGGCAAGACGGCUGAAUAAGAACAGCUCUGGUCUGCAGUUCCUAGCAAGAUCAACGCAGAAGGGAAGCUGGCAGCCUGGGCUCUUGGAGAUUGUAUCUGGUGCCGGAGAGGACUGGCUCCCACACUCAGUGAGGGAGGAAUUUUACUGACCCAGCAUCCAGAUGAACUUUGGUGAGGAGAGGAGGACAUAAGAGCCUGGUGGUUGAUGAUGGAAGAGAUGAAACUGUGAAGAGACCGAAGAAGCUAAUCUAUCAAUAGUUAAGAUUCCAUUUCUAAAAGAUCUUACUUUGAGUCUACCUAUGCCUGGGAUGUCAAGAGACGGAGUUUCACUGUUGUUGCCCAGGCUGGAGUGCAGUGGCGUGAUUUCAGCUCACGGCUACCUCUGCCUCCCGGGUUCAAGCAAUUCUCCUGCCUCAGCCUCCCAAGUAGCUGGGAUUACAGAUCAUCUCUCUACUGACCUUUUAGUGGCUUAGCAUUUUGUUGCAAUGCACAAGUGAAGUUGGGAAACAGAGCCAAGUGACAAGCUGUGAAGUAACAGCUCAGCCUUCACAAAGCAAAUGUGCUUUGUGCACUUCCUUGCCAGAGCAGAUGUGGCCUUGGUGGACUGUGGGGAGCAUCAUCUCUCAGGUAGGAAAGAGACAAAUGGAAGCAAAAUAGCAAAAUGGUGAAGAGGAGGGUUCUAGAGGCAGAGAGCCCUGCAGUCCUGAGUCCUGAGUCCACCGUUUAACAGAGUGACUUUGCUCAGCCUGUGGAUUAUAAUGAAACUUGCCUGUUAUAGGAUCCAGUUUUUUAGGUGGUAGCAACAUGCUCAAGGAAGAUGCAGCCCCUUCCUCCAGCCUGAGAGAAUAAAGCAUCAUUGGCUUAUGCCAACCAUGGCAAUCCCAUUCCCCUUUUCUCAUGAUUGAUUUGGGAAUGGGCAAGUGACCCAGUUCUAACCAAUGAGACGAAAGAAAAAGUCUAUUGGUCAGCUUAUCUCAGAAGAUUUUUGUUUCCUGCUAUAAAGAGAAACAGUAAGUUCCUUCCUGCCUGACUUAAAUGCAAUUGUGUGCAAACAUGUUACUUGGAGCUACAGCAACGAUUCUGUGACCAUGAGGCAAUAAGCCAAGGACAAAGGAUAGAAUAGUGAAAAGACAGAGUAUUGGAUUUUUUUUAUGAUAUCAUUGAACUGCUGGACCAAUGUGGAACCAUCUACUUUUAGUCUUUCAUGAUUUGUGAGAUGAUUAAACAUUUCUUUUUUUUAGCCAUUAUUUCUUUUCUGUUACUUGCAACUGAAGACAUCCUACAUAAUACAAACACUAUCCAACUUGGAUUGUAAUUUAUCUAUUUUCAGAUCUGUGUGUUCUGUCUUACUGAUUUUUGUAUUCUUAGCACUGAGUAUAAGGCUGCUACUUAGUAAGACUUCAAUAAAUGACUGUUUAAAAAGGUCUUAGAGGAUUUAAAAAAAAUUCUGAAGUUGCUGAAAUAUGAAGACCAGGAACCAAUUUCAGGUUCUAUAAAUUUCUCGCUUCCUUCACUUCUGGAGUAGUCUUCAUUUCUGUCUGAUUCUACCUUUACUAAAAUGAAUGAAUGAUUGAGAAAUACGAAAAAUGGCUGGUAUAGUGGCUACUGCUGAGAAGUAUCUCUUGGAAAUUCCCGGAAAUUCCAUCAGUCACAUUCAGACCUAACUCUCUGAUGAUCAAUGUUUCUGAACUCAAACCAGUGUACAUAAGCAGUGGACUAUUUAAAGUGGUAUUAGCCUAGAAUAUCUAGGACCCAUGUUUUAUGCAUUCAGUAAGCGUUUGUUUAAUGUCUGUUAUCUACCAGGCACAUUAUUAUGCAUUGGGCAUAUAGAGAUGACCAACCACACGGCCUCAAUCCUUGAAAAGCUUACAGUAACCAAAUAGGGUUAACGGCCUAAAGAGAGGUAAUUACAAGUCUUACACUCAGUCUUCUUAGCAUAGUAUGGUGCUACCUCUGAGUUAAUUAAGAUAACAAAAUUCCUAGAUAUAUAUCUUUGAUGAAACGGUUUCCAUGAAAACUUUCCAAGUUUGGUCCCUCCCCGGCUGAGUUCAUUUUGGAAGGUGACUUUCUGCUCUCAUCACCUAAGGUCCUUAACACGUAUCCUGUGUUCUCCGGAGGCACCCCUUGCCCAGAGUGUGCCCUCUGCAUGGUUCCCCCAGAACACCUAUUUCAAAGGAAAAGAAGUUGGAUCAUUCAGUGAAGAUUUGGGGGGCCACUUUUCUACGUGGGAGGAUUAUGAGUAUUACCUUCCUCCCCUAUGUAUUAGUAAAUAUAAAGAAAACAUAAAUUAACCCCCUUUCUGGCUGGGCACGGUGGCUCACGCCUGUCAUCCCGCACUAUGGGAAUCCGAAGUGGGCGGAUCACUUGAGGUCAGCAGUUUGAGACCAGCCUGGCCAACAUGGCAAAACCCCGUCUCUACUAAAAUAUAAAAAUUAGCCAGAUGUGGUUGCACACAUCUCUAGUCCCAGCUACUCGGGAGGCUGAGGCACAAGAACUGCUUGAGCCUGGGAGCAAGGGUUGCAGUGAGCUGAGAUUGUGCCAUUGCACUCCAGCCUGGGUGACAGAGCAAGACUCUGUCUCAAAAAAAUAAAAUAAAAUAAAAAUAAUUUAGACCCCAUUCUUCUUAGAUAACCAUGACUUCUGAAGGAGGUCAGAGCUCUUGUGCUCUGCAUCUCUGCUCCAUCAGCCUCAAGGCCACCUUUCAGGUCCACAUGAAAUAUAAGUGCACAAAGGCACCAGACUUAGCAUUAUUAGUUUCCCCCACUGGUCUGAUUUUUGUAGAAAUUGCCAGGAACUGAUUUUCUGCCCUUCCUUCCUAACAGACAAGCCUUCCAGCCCUCCCUGACACAGCUCUUCCCUAUCUCCUACUCUCUGGUCAUCAAGCUUUUAGAGAUGCCCUGGCCUUCUCUAGUUGCCCCAGCUGUAUUUUUUCUUCUUGGGAAUGCGUUGAUUCCAGAGCCUGACUGGGAAUAAAUCUCAGCUCCUCCAUUUAGCAGUUAUGGGAUUCAAGUUACUCUUACUCCCAGGGACUCAGUUUCUGCACCUGUAAAAUGGAGAUUUACCACCUUUCGUUCCAGCAUUACUGAUAUUGUUUGGCUCUGUGUCCCUACCCAAAUCCCAUCUCGAAAAUUAAUCCCUAUAGUCCCCACCUGUUGAGGGUCCUGGUGGGAGGUAAUUGGAUCCUGGGGGCGGCUUUUCCCAUGCUGUUCUCGUGAUAGUGAGUAAGUUCUCACGAGAGCUGACGGUUUUAUAAGUGUUUGACAGUUUCUCCUUCACACGCUCUCUCUUCUGUCUCCUGCCAUCAUGUAAGAUGUGCCUGCUUCUCCUCCUCUCAUGAUUGCAAGUCUCCUGAGGCCUCCUCAGCCAUGAAGAACUGUGAGUCAAUUAAACCUCUUUCUUUUAUAAAUUACCCAGUCUUGGGUAUUUCUUUGUAGCAGUGUGAAAACAGACUAAUGCAAUUACCAUAAUGGGCUUUCAAUUGAUGAACUUGCAUCACUGACUCCUCAACACGCAGCUGACUUCCUACUGUAAUUGUUCACCAUGCAGACAUUUGUGGAGCCACAAGCAUAACCAUCAUGGUAUUUAAGAUUCGUUCUGUAUCUGGAUUUAUGCAGUUUAUGAAAAAUCAUCAAACUGUCCUUAUUAUUGGUGUCUUUUUUCUGUAUAUAUGUUAUGCUUCAAUAAA
ensembl:lncRNA VLDLR-AS1 VLDLR antisense RNA 1